CGUUAAUUGCGAUAACGAACGAGACCUUAACCUGCAAAUAAGCCAGGCUAGCUUUGGCUGGUCGCCGGCUUCUUAGAGGGACGUAUCGGCGCAAGCCGAUGGAAGGUUUGAGGCAAUAACAGGUCUGUGAUGCCCUUAGAUGUUCUGGGCCGCACGCGCGCUACACUGACAGAGCCAACGAGUUCUUCACCUUGACCGAAAGGUCUGGGUAAUCUUGUUAAACUCUGUCGUGCUGGGGAUAGGGCAUUGCAAUC
rnacentral:rRNA from 1 species